CUAUUAUUCUGGCAAGAGACACACCAUGAUGAUGAAGGUGGUUUUCCCAGGGUGAGAUUCAUCCAUCGCACUCCAGGUGUGCUGACCGCUGCAAGUUCCCCGAAUGCAGGAAACUCAACUGGACAAUUCACAGUAAUGGAGGGACUGUGUUUGCCCUUUCCCCAG
rnacentral:snRNA from 1 species